CUGUCUCUGUCUCUGUCUCUCUCAUAGUUUCCAGGAGUUUAGGAUCUUUUCCCACCAGGCCAUCUUGCCAUAUUUCUUCUUUGGAUCUUGCCAAUCAUGGAUUGAAAUAGUUAAGCCAUAAGCCAAAAUAAACUUAUCCUCUAUUUUCCUCUUCAAACAAUGCAAGUAUUCUGGUCAUAAUGAGCAAAGGCUGCUAUCUUUACUUUUUGAUGCUAUUUUUUGGGCGCAGCUGGAGGUGACUUUUUCUCAUCUGCUACAUCUCAUAGAAGGCUGAGGAUUUACAAGUCUGGAAUUAUCAAUUUUUUUUGCCUAGAGUGAUGGUUCUUUUAAUAUGAAACUCUUUGACAAACUUAUUUUGUAUCUUUUAGACAACAACAUAUGGUAGUAGCUACACCCACCAAUCUUUCUGAAACAGGACUUUCGAAGUUUAAUUGUGAGUAUCUUGAGCUUUUAAAUUUUCUGUGUAAGCCUCAUUAUAAAGUUCUUUCCUUUGAGUCAUUUGGUCCAACAAAAAAUUAAUUAGAUGAUUUUUCUGUUACUACCUGAAGAUUCAUUAGGCCAUGUUUUGCUUUUCUAUUACCAUCAUCUUAUUGACUAAGUACAAUUGGCUUAAUACAAUUCAUAUUAAUUAUCUCUUAGUUCUACUGGGCAUAGUGGGGCUAGGUUCAUUGCUUAAAGUCUCACAAAGUUGAAAUCACAGUACCGUGCUGGAGCUCAGGAUGACCUUUGAAGAUCAAAUAAUUGUUGGAAGAAUGAAAUUUCACAGUAUAUUGAACUUCAGAUUCUAUUUUCUUUUUAAUUUCCACCUGAAGAUUAUUUUUAACUCUUUGAGACUGUCUUAAGGUCUUUACAUGAUUGCUUACUUCUCCAAAGCCAGCAACAGAAUUUUCUCUUUCUUUAAACUAUCACAAACCUCUUUUGAAAGUACAUGUAGUUAUGAUCACCUGAGAAAACCUCCUUUUUGAUGAACUGGUAGUCCUCUGAUUAGGUACCUUAAUCAUUUUUUACAAGGUCUCUUCUGCAUGGAAGCGAUGUACCAUUAUCUUUAGAGUUUCUGCUCAUGUCUUAAGGAUUAUACAAGGUGUGCACACACAUUUCAACCUAAUCAUAAGGUAUGGAUGUAAACUUAAUUCAAAGGAAUUGCCAAACUAUGUAAUGUUUACCUUGAGUUGAUCUUUCCCACCAGACUAAGUUUUGAUAAACUUUUGCUUUUUUGUACUUUGGUAUUUUUAUGCUUUAUGUUUGGGAAGACAUAGACUCUCAGAACAGAAGAUCUUAAGUUUCUGGACUCCCAUGUUUUCAACUUGACUAAAAGCCAAUUCAUUCUGAUCUCAUCUUUUCUUGUUCUAUUUUGUCGCAUGCUAAAUAUAGUCAUCAAUGUAUACUGCUGACAUUCUGUUUGUCCCAUUUUUAACUUAGAGUCACAUGCUCACUAAGAUUAUCAUGACAGAUGAGUUUUAGCAAGUGUUUCUACACUGCAUUACAGAGGCUCCCACUUUUCUUGUCUCCAAUGCUGUAUAUUUUACUUUUCAUAGAAAGAAAACUAUUUUUGGAAUCAUUUUUUUUUACUUAGAAUAGGAUAACUAUGUUACAAUGUAACAGCAUAAAAGAUAAAUUAAAAAUCACAUAGCCUUCAACAAAGAUGUUUUAUUACCUGCCCUUGCAACAUGCCUAUCCUGGGCCAGCUUGUUUUGUCUUGGUAUCCUAGCUGAUGGAAUAGCCUUUAUAUGCCACAGGGACAGUGGGGGAAAACAGACAUGCCUAAGCUCUUAACACAUCUGCCUGAAGUGACAAACAUUACUUCUAACCGCAUUUUACUGUCAAAAGCAAGUUAACUGGAAAUCUCUAUGUCCACCAGGGUAGAGAUACGUAAUCCUACAGAAGCAAUGGGGAGUAUAAGGGGAAAAAUCAGAAUAUUGGAUGAAUUGUAAUAUAACUAAAUAUUCCAUUGUUCUAUCAAAAGGAAUUUUCAUUGCUCUCAGGAUUGGACUUCUGGUCUCCUACCUGGUUUCCCUUUCUUUAGUGUUUGGGUGAGCAAUAAGCCUUUGAAGCUUGAAAAUUAAGUCUAAGAGUCCUCAUAAAGGGGUAUUAGAAAACCAUCUGUUUUGGCUAGCAUUUCUGUACCUUUUCCCACUGGGAUUUGAACACUGUUAAACUUCUAAUUUAUAUAACCCCUGAGCAGGGAACUUCUCUUAAUGCCUGCCCUUACAAUAUUUAUCUUUCUCUUUUUGGUUUGUAUGUAGGACUCACAUAAAUUUUGUAUUCAUUGAACAUGUUUUUCUUUUCCUCCAGAGUAAAAAGACAAUCUUAUUCAAAACUGGACAAAAGAUCAGCACCUUCUCCAAAGAUAUAUUAAUGGCCAAUAAGCACAUGAAAAGAUACUCAGUAUUAUUAGUUUUGGGGGAAAUGCAAAGUCAAAAUGCAAUAUCAUUUCAUACCCAUUGGGUUGGCUAUUACUUAAAAAUAUAAAAGAAAGAAACUAUCAGAUCUUGACAAAGAUUUAAAAAUUUACAACUCUUAUGCAUCCACUGAAGUAAAUGUUAUAUUCCACUAAGCAUAAUUUCUUCAAGUCUGUUAUUUCUGAGUAAGAGGAAAGAGUUGAAUGAUGAAAUGCCAAAGAUUCUGGAUUUUUUGGGCAACAUCUAUAGCUUAAUUGAAAAGUCUAUAAAUCAACUUUCUAAGGGCUUAUAAAGGAGAUCUCAUGAUUCUAACUGCUUUCUAGAUUGCUAUCAUUAACUGAAUAUUAGUUAAAGUCUAGCAAGAAAAGCCUGAGGAGUGUGACAAAUAUCUUUAUUAAAGAAUGCACAGCUGAUUAAGGAAUAUAAAAUUAAAGUAAAAGGAGAAUUUGGGGUUUUACAUAAAAGCAGAAAUGAGUACUGGGAAUAACAACAGGAGAUACAACAUAGACAAAUUUGUGCAUAUAAAGCCCAUUGUAAAUCACUGUGGUGAUAAAAUGGGUGGGGGUAUCUGGGAUCAGCAGGACAACAUGAGGGAGAUGAAAUGAUCAUAGUGAUGAUGACACAUCGGAGACCCAAGGUAAAUUUCUGGGAAAUAAAACAAUAAUAGGGAGAAAGUCUACUUGUACAAGAGGUCUUUGUGUGUGUGUGUGUGUGGGGGGGGCUAGCAUUUGUUAAUUCAGUGUAUGGACCACCCUAGGAAUCAGAUAUUAUCUCCAUUCUUCCAAUGUAAAGAUUGAAACUAUUAGGGAUACUACUUUGCUUUCAUUAGCCAAAUUAGAUUAUAACUGUUGCAAUAAACAUGCUUCAAAAAUAAUUUGCUAAGCACAGUUGUGUAUGCUAAUUCUCAUCACAGCUGUCAUGAUUAAUUUUUAUAUCAACUUGGAUAGACUGCAGUCUGCAGUUAUCAAACAGUAACGCAGGUGGUGGAGUUUAGGCUGGAUUGUUAGCUUAAGGAUAUAAUCCAUUGACUUUCUUUUAGUAAUACUAUCCUAGAUAAUCUGGGUUGGCCUGGAGGCCUCAGGAGAAAAGGCAAGACUUCUAUAUAGAAGAAAUUCCACCUGUGGACAGAAGCUUCAGUUGGUGGUGAAGAGUUCCAUCCUGCUCUGCCAGUCCAAAGAAUAUCAGAUUUGUUAGUGAAGCCCCACAAUCACCUUUCCUUGGAGGAGCCAUGAUCCUGGCUUCUGCCACCUUCCAGAGUCUCCACUGCACCUUCAGCUUCAUCCUCGCAGAUUCACACACUGCCCUCUAUGGGGCACACUGCCCAGCCUCCCAGGACUUCUGAAAUCUGGAUGGAAGAUUUCCAAACCAUGUCACCCUUCCAUUCUGCUUGCACCUAACACCGGAACUAUGUGGAUGAUUCCAAGGUUUGCUAGCAGAAGAGGAGCAGUGUUCAGGUCUCUCUUGGCUGUUGUGGUUGAAUGCCUAUGAACCAAAGCCCGAGGAACAACUUCCCUAGGCUUUUGCCAUUCUGGAACAUGUUUCUCUUGGAAUCUCUUCUCUUUCUCUCUUUUCAGUUUCCCAAAUUCCUUUUUUUUAAUUUUAAAGAGAAAAAAAAACCAGUUUCAAAACAGACUAAUAGGAGAGCAAUAAUAAUUAAUACAUUAUGCAUUGUUAUCUUCAUAGUGGUUAAUCAGAAUAAAAGAUGUAUACAUGAAAUGCUGUCCAAACCAUAUGAGCACAAACGCUCCUUCCAAUGAACUAAGGGAAACUAGCCAUAUAUAUAUAUUCCUUUUUCCUUCCCCCAUCAUGAUUUCUCUUUUCUUUUGAAUAGUUUUUUUCAUAGUUUGCAAUAUCUAUUGUACCCUUUGGAUUUUAUUUACUCAUUGAGCUUCUCACACUAAUGAGACAAUAUGAUGUUUAUAUAUGUGGGUCUGAUUUGUUUAACUUAGAAAUAUUGUCUUGGAGUUGCUUACAUUUACCUAUAAAAGUCUCAAAUUUAUCCUUCA